rnacentral:rRNA from 1 species
AUUGAACGCUGGCGGCAGGCCUAACACAUGCAAGUCGAACGAGCGGCGGACGGGUGAGUAAUGUCUGGGAAACUGCCCGAUGGAGGGGGAUAACUACUGGAAACGGUAGCUAAUACCGCAUACCAUCUGAUGUGCCCAGAUGGGAUUAGCUAGUAGGUGGGGUAACGGCUCCCCUAGGCGACGCUCCCUAGCUGGUCUGAGAGGAUGACCAACCAAACUGGAACUGAGACACGGUGCAGAAUCCUGCGGGAGGGAGCAGUGGGGAAUAUUGGACAAUGGGGGCAAGCCUGAUGCAGGCAGGCCGCGUGUAUGAAGAAGGCCUUCGGGUUGGAAAGUACUUUCAGGGGGGAGGCGGUACUCGAAGAAGGAGCCACGGCUAACUCCGUGCCAGCAGCCGCGGUAAUUC